GACGAACGCUGGCGGCGUGCUUAACACAUGCAAGUCGAACGGAAAGGCCCUGCUUUUGUGGGGUGCUCGAGUGCCGAAGGCGUGCGUAACACGAGAGUAACCUGCCCUUGUCUUUGGGAUAACUUCAGGAAACUGGGGCUAAUAUAGGAUAGCAGCUCCUGCUGCAUGGUGGGGGUUGGAAAGUUUCGGCCGUUGGGGAUGGACGGGCGGCUUUUGAGCUUGUUGGUUGGGGAGUGGCAUACCAAGUCUUUGACGGAUAGGCGGCAUGAGAGCGUGACCGGGGACAAGAGUACUGAGGGAGGCAGCAGAGUGGAAUGGUAGGCAGCGGGGGCGAAUAUUGCACAAUGAGCGCGAGUGGGAUGAAGCGACGCCGCGGGCGGGAAGACGGCCUUCGGGUUAAAAACAGCUUUCGCCUGAGACGAAGCGGUAGUGACGGUAAUGGGUAAAGAAGCACCGGCUAACUACGUG
rnacentral:rRNA from 1 species